AACACGGCAAACAAGCAUUAACAAGUUGUUAUGCCUUUUGGUCAAAAGUCAGUAGUUAGUGCAUAAUCUGAUUAAGUUACGUAAGCAAGGUGAUAAAUAAGUUCAAAGUUAAGAAAUAUUAUGUGAUUCAUGCUAAAAACAGUUAAAAUGUGUGGGUUUGAAAUUUGCUCAGAGUGAGACAUCGUUAUCACAAGCGAUCUUUGUAUUGUACGUGCGGAAAUGGGAGCGAGGGAGCGCUCUGAUCAUUAACCUAUCUUUGACGUUUUUUCUCCGUGAACGCUGUGAGAAGUGCUUCGGCAGUAUUAAAACAGUGAAUAAGUUUAUGUACACGCUAUAAGUGCCCUACACGCUUGUACCUUGGGAAACGUUCGUCUUUGAGUAUUAAUGUGUUCAGAAAAUACAACAUCAUCUUCCUGUUCGUCUGUUUUUGUUUUGUUUUUUGUUUUUCCCUCUCUAUGCUUGAUUACAGGCUGCUUUGCCGGCCCUGAAAGCCGAAGCUGACCUGGACUCCUGCUCUCCCCUCUACCAUCUCUGACCCUGACCAAAUGCUGCAGCAGCUGGACCCAUAACAACAAUCUAAAAAUGUCAACAGUGCUACAGGAAAGCGAUCUCAUGCAGCAGAGAUGGAGAGCGUUAAAUCCAAGGCCCGUUUCACUACACGGGGGAGAUUUCCAGACAGCUUCAGCUGACAGACCUGUGACGAGACGCCCAUUAAGCCCGAAUGAAAAGUAAGGCCGAGCAAAAGAAUGCUGACCUUGAUAACUUUGCAUUUAACACUGUGCAGGACAGUGAUGGACCAACACGGAUGAUCGGGCAGCAGAAGAAAGGGCGUGCCAGAGACAGGAGGAGCAACUGAGGUCAAAAGGCACCUCAGAAUGGACAAAACACAGAAGAAGAAAGGACUGCCCCAAUUGGGGCCAAAACCAGGACAGACUGAACUUUGAGCAGCAGCAGCAGCAGCAAUGGUCGCAACCGGACUGAAAAGGAGGAGGGCAGGACCCCAGGGCACGCUUCAGGCCGUGGUUUACCCAAAACACCAGAACAGGAAAGUGAUAAACACGCAAACAUACACAUCUACACACACUGACUCAAAAUGAAGAGAAACACACACCUGAACAGACGUGCACUUGUUGAUUGAGUGAGAAAUGACACACACACACACAUCAGACAAUGUACACUCAUCAAACAUGACUGAUGCCCUGAACGCCUUGAGACAGAUCCAGCAGGCCCAAAAUCAGGCCUAUGUAAAUAAUACAAGUGACUGCUAAAAAGACUACUACUGCCUUUUCACUGUGCAAUACUUUUUGUUAAAAACCAACGGUGCAAUAGACUUCAAUACUUGAAAUACUUGAAAUACUUGAAAUACUUGCAGUUCCUUUGUAUUCUUAUUCUUAUUUAUUCUAUUUAUCCCUUUUUGUAUUUUUACUUUUAUUUUGUGUUUUUGUAACAUGUAUCCUGCCAUGUCUAAAACUCAUGAUUAACCGUAUAAUUGUUUCCACUGUUGCUGCAUACAUAGCCGUGACAAAUGAUGAUGAUGACCCCGACCUGUUGGAACAUGAAGACUUUGUGUGAUUAAUGAUGAUGUGACAGAAAAUGUACAACAAGAUGUUACAUACUGAUAUCUCACUUCAAAGUUAUACUGACAACAGGAGGGAAUGUCAAUAGAAAAUUGUACUUGGUAGUCAGUAUAAGCCUUUAAUGAUAUAAGUUUGCAUAUGAUAGAAUACUGUAUGUUGACCUUUUGAUGACUUAGACUGUUGUCCACUACAGGACUGUUUUAUAAAUUCUUUCUCACAGCUGAAUAAGCUGUUAUUAUUUCACUCCUGCCAGGAAGAGGAGAGCUGGACACUCUUAUCUGACACUCCCUAACAAGAAGAGAGGCCGCGUCUUUCUGUAUCCCACAACACACAUGCAUACACCUAAACCGCUCUUAUCUUCACUCCCUACACACUAACUUUCCUCUACCUAUGAAUAGACGUAUUCACUGUUGUAUUAUUUUUGCAUAUAAAUAAAGACAAGUGCAAGAACAGAGCGCUGAUCACAGGGCCCCCACUCUGUUGUGAGCGUUCUGUGACCGCCCUUGCAAGUAAAGAUCUACAGUGUGUGUCUCUUCACUCUUAGACUCUCAGCUGAAGAAGUGUCAUUUAGAAUAAAUCUCUUGACAUUUAUUUUGGUCCUUCGAGCCGGAUCAGAAAUAUCAGAACUGUUAUCUGUGACUCUGUUCCAAGGAUCCAGAACUGAUUCCUGACGGCGUGGGAAGCCAGCACCGAAGUCUGUGCACAGCCCUCUUAGACGAGGCCGAAAGCCCUGGGACGUUUAAAUUCGGGUCCAGGCCGGUGUUUUUAGUCUGGUCCACGGUGGUGGGAUUCAGUCUGGCGAUCCGAAUCACCAGUGAGACGUCUGAGGGUGAGAGAAACACUAUUUUGUAAAACGGCCACGAAGGUUUUAAGAAACGCGUAAAAUAAAAUGAUAAAAUAGGUUAAGCUCACCAAAAGGCCAAAAGAACUAAGUUUAGACCAGUUUCAGAGGUAGCUGUUAAAUACUUCGUGACAAAUUAGCGCGCAAAUGUCUGUGUGUAUGUGUCUAGAAGUAAGUUGAUUUUACAGCACAAUACGCUGCUGAACUACUUCUAUUUUAUUUGUUUUCUUUGCUUGAGGCUCAAGUACUGGUGACAAAAGAGAACGGUUGAGUUUCGUCUCGUAAAACUGAUACCGCUUCAUUUUUUUUUAGAAGUGAAGUAGAAGGCCGUAUCAGUAAACCACUCUGGAGUCAAGCGUACCAGUGACGGCCCAGCAAAAUCUUUGAAAAUGGGGAAUAAACAAGCAAAAUUAACACCUGAUGAGGAAUGGUUAGAAAAACAGCAAACCGGAGCAGGUAGAAUAAGUGCAAAUAGGUGGAGAAAUCCACAAAAAGCUAAAAACCGCAGCUGGGAAGGGAAAUGCAAUCCCUCAGCUGUUACCCAGCUGAAAGCUGCCCUGAAACAAGAAAUUACAUUAACAAAAGACCCAAAGGAAAAAUUAAAACGUGAAGAAGAAUAUAAACUUUUCCAAGCAUGGGAAACUGAAGCUGAAAGGAGAACUGAAAAUAAGAAAAAGUAAGAGGAAAAUAAAAAACAAUUUAAAUGCGCUUCCAUUAAAGGAUUACUACCACCCAUUAGGUCUCAUGUAGAAAAGCAUUGGGUAACGCAAGAUACGGGCACAGCAGAUGAGGCGUUUCAAUAUGCUAACCAUGCACAGACAGUGGUGAAAAAGAAAGAGAAGGUCUCAGUUUUUGCCCUCGACGCUGACACUGUUCUCACAGCUUUCAGUGGAGGCUACAGGGGAGGUUUCAGAGGCCAAAAGAGAGAGAGAGGAAUGCGUAGGGCAGGAGCAGGGGGUAGAGACAGGUUUAGACACACACCAAACAGUGACUUUAGUACUACAUGCUGGAAGUGUGGAAAAGAGGGACAUUUUGUACGUGACUGUAAGAAACAAAGAAGACAGUGACUCAGAACAGGAUAGUAGCUCAGGUGAAGAGAACAGUUCAGACUAGGAAGAACAUAAUAAUCCCUCACCAAGUAAAAAAUUAGAGAUCUAAGUAUAAGUUUAAAAAGGGGCUGGAAACAGACCCAACUGAAUGCAUAUAAAUGCAAGAGGAAUAAAGUUAAAUAAAACAACUGUAAUGUAUUCAAAUUGAUAAAAGCAAGGAUAACAACCUGUAAACUGGUAUUAACAAUGAAACAUAGUUGGGAUGAAGACCGUGCCCAGAAUGAAUAGAACGAAAGAAAAUACAUAACUCACACAAACACAUAUUAAAUGAAAUAGAGAGAUGCAUAAGGUAUAUUAAGGUUGUGUCAUUGUUCAGCCAAGGAAAGUGUGUGAAAAGGAAAAUGUCUCCAGCUUGGGAAGGGGUGAGACUGCAGCUCACCCUCAGCCCUUGGUGGACACAAAUAAAAUAUAAAUAAAAUAUUGUAAUGUACUGUUGCUGUUAUAUAAAAAGAUAAUAACAUUAAUAAUAACAUAAUAUUAAUAUGAAGAGGCACCUCAGUCAGCUAUGAUGUGAGGUGGAUAAUUGUUAAAAGUAAUCUGCAUCAAGCUUAAGGUUGCUCAAAUUCAGUAUAAUGACAUAUGAAAUGAAGAAAAUAAAGAAAAUAUGUAAACUACUUAAGUGCAUAGAGGCACUUGACCUGCUCGAAAACCUGUCAUCCUAGAUGAGACAUUGCUGAAAUAUAGAGCACACCUAUAUUAACAACUAAAAACCCUGUAUACAACAGCUAAAGCUACACAAUUGAGAAGCUGAAUUAAAUAUGUGGUCACUGCUAAGCUGAUGAGCAGGUUACACAUUUUUUAGAGCAGGAGCUACAUAGGAACACAUCAGAGGGAGGGAAACAGCUAUUAAAGCUCAAACAUGAAGCUGUCUGUGGGCUCAGUUUUGUUUUUGUUUUUGUUUUUGUUUUUUUUUCCCCUCACGCUUCUGAUUUGUCUUUGGCAGCAGCCUUUUUGCAUCCUGACUCGUGUGUAAAGCGUUCAAGCCAUUGGUAACUUGUUUUUUGUUUUGUUUUGUUUUUUGUUUUGUGGGGUUGAAAAAUGAAUAAAUCUGUGAUCAUACUUGUGGAUCACAGUGGCACAUAAUGAUUAGGCAUAUGAUUUACUAAUGCAGAUGUAAUAACUUUAUUCUAAAAUUCAGGGAGAACAAACAAGAACAACAUCUUCAGUUGUGUCUUGUUGUUGUUCUCUGUGUAGUGUGCUGAGUUUUGUUUUUUGUUUCUUUUGUUUUUUGAAAUGUUGCUUGAGUGAUGACUACUGUAACUUCUGAAGUAGCUCUCACCAUGCGUCCUUGAUGAUGAUAAGUCCAGAGCCAGCCGAGAGCUGGGUUGUCUGUUUUUUGUUUUGAAAUGUAAUUUUUGUUUUGAAAAAAAAAAAGGGGGGGAGGUUUUGUGUUUCUCAGCAAAGAACAACUACAAUUUCAUUUUCUGUUUUUGAGAAAGGAGAAUUUAUAAUAAUAAUAAUAAUAAUAAUAAUAAUAAUAAUAAAACAAAGAGUGAUGUUUUGCUUAAGUGUUGAAGCAGGCUAAUACUGCAACAUAUAAAUAAACUCCAAUUAUGGAGACCUGAAGUCACAUGCUUAGGGCACACCCUCAGGUGAAGGCAGAAAGCUACUAAACAAAGAAAAGAAGCUAUACAAAAUGCGCCACAGCCACAAACUAAGCAUUCAUAUUUUUUCUAACUCUUAGUGAGCCUGAGUUAUGACCUUGGCUCCCUGUUUUUCUGCUUCCACCAAAGGUGGGGGUGACGCUCCCGUGGCAUGUGCUCUGUUCUCUUUACUAUCACAAAGAAAAAAAAAACAGAGAGAGGCCCCUGCUCUCUGAAUACAAUAUUCUCUUCAUAACUCGGCAGUAUGAAAUGUCAUGAAACAGUGUAACUCACUCACAGUAAAUCAGCAGUAUAGGAUAAUACAAACCUAUCUAAUAAAUCUAAUGAUUUUCACAUUCUUUUAACUCAGAAGUGUGAUGUGGCCUACAGCAGUAUCAUGAUUCACUCAUUUUGAUUAUAGGUAUAAUGUAAUAUAUGACAGCAUAAUAAUCUCACAACUGCUACAAGCACAUUUGCCUUUCUUAACACACGCGAGAGAAAGGCAACUGUUGAGAAAAUGCUCUUUUGGGUGAGACAGGCCCAGAGGCCUUGGAUGCAAGCUACUAAUACACAUACAUGCAAUGAAGAACAGCUUACACUACAGCACACACUAUACAUGCGCCUAUAUCCCUCAUUAGUGUUAAAACAGGGAAAACUUAAUAGUUUUGUUAUCAAAUGCUGAAGUUUAUCCACUACUAACAAAUAAACUCUCUGGGUUGCAGGACAACAACUUCAAAAAGAACGACACUGGUAUGACCAACCAGUGAUGAAACAACAAAUUUAGUGGUUAAGAGUCAAAUUGUGAGGUGUUUUCUGCUGAUUGAAUCAUACAAGUGAUUACUGAAGGAAGGAAAAUUCCUUUUUUGUGCCUUUAAACGUGAUCUUAUGAAUUUUAACAUGUACCUGUGUUGUCCUGUCAGCUUGGUGGGUUAUGAGUUGAUUAUAUUGUGAGGAAAAAAAAAAAGGGGGGGGGAGAGAAGGCUGACACAGGGCCUGGCCCGGUGUUUCUCCCCUCUCUGAAUCACACAGCCAACACAACAUCAUCUUCCUGUUCGUCUGUUUUUGUUUUGUUUUUUGUUUUUCCCUCUCUAUGCUUGAUUACAGGCUGCUUUGCCGGCCCUGAAAGCCGAAGCUGACCUGGACUCCUGCUCUCCCCUCUACCAUCUCUGACCCUGACCAAAUGCUGCAGCAGCUGGACCCAUAACAACAAUCUAAAAAUGUCAACAGUGCUACAGGAAAGCGAUCUCAUGCAGCAGAGACGGAGAACGUUAAAUCCAAGGCCCGUUUCACUACACGGGGGAGAUUUCCAGACAGCUUCAGCUGACAGACCUGUGACGAGACGCCCAUUAAGCCCGAAUGAAAAGUAAGGCCGAGCAAAAGAAUGCUGACCUUGAUAACUUUGCAUUAACACUGUGCAGGACAGUGAUGGACCAACACGGAUGAUCGGGCAGCAGAAGAAAGGGCGUGCCAGAGACAGGAGGAGCAACUGAGGUCAAAAGGCACCUCAGAAUGGACAAAACACAGAAGAAGAAAGGACUGCCCCAAUUGGGGCCAAAACCAGGACAGACUGAACUUUGAGCAGCAGCAGCAAUGGUCGCAACCGGACUGAAAAGGAGGAGGGCAGGACCCCAGGGCACGCUUCAGGCCGUGGUUUACCCAAAACACCAGAACAGGAAAGUGAUAAACACGCCAACAUACAAACAUACACAUCUACACACACUGACUCAAAAUGAAGAGAAACACACACCUGAACAGACGUGCACUUGUUGAUUGAGUGAGAAAUGACACACACACACAUCAGACAAUGUACACUCAUCAAACAUGACUGAUGCCCUGAACGCCUUGAGACAGAUCCAGCAGGCCCAAAAUCAGGCCUAUGUAA
ensembl:lncRNA